rnacentral:misc_RNA from 1 species
GGGUAAUCCUACCUGAUUUGAGGUCAAACUUUGUUUGUUGUUGUAAGGCCGAGCCCACGCACUCUCUGUCCUAUGCCGCAUUCAACGAGUUGGAUAAACCUAAUACAUUGAAACAGCUUAGUACUAAAAAGCACCACUCUUGCCAAUACUUUUCAAGCAAACGCCUAGUCCGACUAAGAGUAUCACUCAAAACCAAAUCCGAAGAUUUGAGAGAGAAAUGACGCUCAAACAGGCAUGCCCUUUGGAAUACCAAAGGGCGCAAUGUGCGUUCAAAGAUUCGAUGAUUCACGAAAAUCUGCAAUUCAUAUUACGUAUCGCAAUUCGCUGCGUUCUUCAUCGAUGCGAGAACCAAGAGAUCCGUUGUUGAAAGUUUUGAAGAUUUUUGAAUUUAAUCAACAAAUUGACUAUCGUUAAUAACUAUUCAAUAAAAUUGAAGUUUAAUAAACCUUUGGCCCAACUUGCGCCAGACCAAAGCAAUGUUUUCAAAGAAAGAAAUCACUGUGUGUAAGGUUUUUCGCCGCGCAGUUAAGCGCUGGCAAAAGAAUA